rnacentral:lncRNA from 10 species
UCUCCAUUUCCUCUUCCACAGCGUUAGCAGGGUGGACUGGAUGGGCCAUAUGCCAGAUCCUUUGAUUUCUAUUUGCCACCACACGAACUGACACUGCUGCCCAGAAGCAUUCCCCUGCACAUCCACAUCACAGCCCUCCUGCUGGCAGCUUGGAAUUUAGACCUUUUACUCUCAAUGCUCCAGGAAACUAGAUGUACUUCUUUCUUUCUAGUCCAUUGGUGAUAUCCUUGACAAUGUAGUUUAGAUGAUGCAAUGGUUUGACCUGUGAGCGAAGUUGUCUUCAAGGAAACAGUCUGGUGAAGUCUGUUUGCCAUUAGUAGAUGCUUGUUUUCAUUUGGAGGGUUAGAGGAGUUAGGCAAUUGGAAAAGUCUAUAGAAUCAGGCCCUACCAUUCAACAAAGGCCAGAGAGACUCCCCCAGGACUGCUCCCAUGGAGGCCACCACAGCCCUGUGAGGGGUCCCUGUGGACAGCAUCAUUCUUCAAGUUUGUCGUCCCAGGACCGCACGUGUUAGACUCGGCAGCAUCAGCUGCUCUUCAGGGAGAGUCAUCAAGUUCAUAAGUGUUUCAUCAUCUGAAACCCUUUCGCAGAAAAGCAGGCUGGUGUUUCACUGAUCACAGAGCAGAUUGAUCACAACGAAAAUGACAAGGCUGUCAUUCAUCGGGACGACUAUACUGGAAGUAUCUUAUUGGAAAUAAAAUUCCUCAGGGUAUUACAUUUCUUCCUUUGUUCCAGUAAGAAAGGAAUAAUUUAUUGUUAUUAACUUUUAAUAAUAUAUGUAUUAUAGAAUUAUAUUAUCAAUUGAUAUUAAUCACCAAUGUAACAGUUAAUAUAUAUUUAAUACAGCAAAUAUAAUUGGUAAAAUUAUACUAACAUUGUUAUAUUAUAGAUCACAUAAAAUAACUCAUAAGCAUAUUUAACCUAAUACAAAGCUAUAAUUUAGAAAGUACUUGCUGUGCAUAUUAUAUCUGAAACUCUCUGCAAUCCUAUUAAUUAGGCUGUAGAAAUAAGUAGUGUGUACCCCUACAGGUAUAAAUGGAAAAAAAAGAUACUCAAAAGUUUUAGGUGACUUGCAACGUACCUCGGAAAAGAAGAGAACUAAACUAAAAAAAUAACUGAUUUCAGAUCUUGAGCCUUUUCCUCCUGGUGGUAUAUUUUUCCAGGCAAAUCUGACUUAAAUUAUAAACAUUUUUUCCUCUGAAAAUCGGAGCAAUGUUGAAUAUUAGUUUUCUUUUCCUCUCUUCUUCCUCCCUCCCUUCCUUUCCUCCUUUUUUCCCCUUGUUUUUAAAUAACUGAUCUCCCAGACUCCAAAACAGGAAGAUGUGGAUGAGUGGGAGAUGGUUGAUAGAGGUUUCAGCCUCAUGGUGAGCAACAUAAUUCUACUUCCUGGGUGAAGCAUGACACAUCACUUUGGAGUAUAAAUACCCACUCAAGAAGGAGGGGUGCUCUCCUUCCUACAGUGCAGAUGUUACUACUGUGAAGCCUGUCACAACUGGUUUGCUUGCUUUGUCAUAAAGGUUUCAUUUUGGAAAUAGCAGUUCAUCUUUAAAAUAUUUUAUUGCUUUUGAAUGAACCUAAUUGCUGUUCUUUUGCCUUGCGUGGCCGUCUGUGCUGGUGUCAUUUGUUUCCUAGAAGUGGAUAAAUUAAUUGAUUUGGUUAAGGGGAGUUUUGUUCUGCAGCCUUAUGGACUCAGUCCCCUUGUUUCAGUGUCUGUGGAAGAACGGUAGCUUGAACUACAUGGCCAAGAAAUGCAAUAUCCACUCUCACUUUUGUUCUCCUGAAUAAACCUGAGAUAUGCUCACCCUGACUAGCUCAUGUCCAUCUCACUGCUGAUUUGCAUAAUUAUACUCAUUGUAAACCACCUGUUCAACUUGGGAAGGGGCCUCCUUACAUAGACCUAGAGUUAAUUAGCUCUGACAGGCACCAGUCUUAUCCUGGACACUGUCCCUA